GACGAACGCUGGCGGCGUGCUUAACACAUGCAAGUCGAACGGAAAGGCCCUGCUUUUGUGGGGUGCUCGAGUGGCGAACGGGUGAGUAACACGUGAGUAACCUGCCCUUGACUUUGGGAUAACUUCAGGAAACUGGGGCUAAUACCGGAUAGGAGCUCCUGCUGCAUGGUGGGGGUUGGAAAGUUUCGGCGGUUGGGGAUGGACUCGCGGCUUAUCAGCUUGUUGGUGGGGUAGUGGCUUACCAAGGCUUUGACGGGUAACCGGCCUGAGAGGGUGACCGGCCACAUUGGGACUGAGAUACGGCCCAGACUCCUACGGGAGGCAGCAGUGGGGAAUAUUGCACAAUGGGCGGAAGCCUGAUGCAGCAACGCCGCGUGCGGGAUGACGGCCUUCGGGUUGUAAACCGCUUUCGCCUGUAACGAAGCGUGAGUGACGGUAAUGGGUAAAGAAGCACCGGCUAACUACGUG
rnacentral:rRNA from 1 species